UCAGGAUGUCCAGCCCAACGGCAUAUUGCCAUUGCAUCUUGGUAGUUUCGCUCUAUGUUUCGAGGACUUCCUGUGAAACUUGCUGGGAGUACUAUUCUCCUCCCUACUUGCUCUGUCAGCGUGUCUCCUUUUCUGAAUGCAUCCUGUAGUCCAUCAUAAAGUUGUGUUCUUAAAUUUCCUUGAUUUUUUCUGAUCCAAUUGAGCCUAUCCUGUUCGAUGCAUGUAUAGACAUCUACCACAAACUGCAUCGACAGAUUUCCACACAUUAGCAUUAACAUUGACUGGCCUGGGCGCUGUUGGAGGUGAUAUGCAUAGUAUUCCAGCAUGGUGAUGUAUUUCUUGUUACUUACACCUUUCUUUUUUUUGUACUUGAUUCCAAGUCUAUAACCAUCUUCCCCAUAUGGGAAGAGCAACGGGUAUUGCAUGGCCAUGAAUUUUGGAUGGAUUUCUGAUAUCCUUUUAGGUUUCAUAUCUUUGUACUCGAGAACAAUGUCACGUCCGUAAUGUUUUUGGGUUGGAUCUUUGACUAUCAGUGCAGCAACUUCUGAUAUUGAUGGCAUGUUAUCUUGCCUCCCAUCUUGAUCCCUGCUGCCAAGUAAACGCAGAGUGAAAUUGUUGUAGUCAUCUUCUUUAAAUCUAUCUCUUGCCAUUCGGAAUGAUUGUGCUAAUGUGUUAUUCUCGUCGAGCAUGCUUAGUAGGCCACUGACAAUUGUUUGCUUUAGUGAGGCAUCACGUGAAGGGGAGCCUUGGCGCAGUGGUAAAGCUGCUGCCUUGUGACCAUGAGGUCAUGGGUUCAAGUCCUGGAAACAGCCUCUUACAGAAAUGUAGGGAAAGGCUGCGUACUAUAGACCCAAAGUGGUCGGACCCUUCCCUGGACCCUGCGCAAGCGGGAGCUACAUGCACCAGGUUGCCCUUUUAGUGAGGCAUCACGUUCACCAGAUCUUGAUGCUUCUACCCUAUUCUGGAUCUCAUUAUCUGUGUCAUAGAUAUACAACUGCUGGAAACGAGGCCUAUUUCCUUCUUCGGGUAGUAGGGUUCCUAUCUGGUGGCGGUUCUGGCCAUUCAGUCGGAACACAUAAGGUCCACGCCCUUCGUUUAUUUUCUUAUCCAAAGUCCCCCCCCCCCAUUGAUGUGAACGCAAACAUGGAAUUGUAAGACCUAAUGUUCUUUCGGUAGUUUGCUGAUAUUUUUCCUCCACCCCUUGUUAAUAAACUUGUAAGGUAAGGCGGCGGUUCUUUAAAUGGUGGCAAGAUAAUCUUCCCUUGUUUGCAGCAUUGUGCAAAGGAUGGUUGUCUUGUUCUGGAAGAUUGUAUUCUUUCUGCAUACCACAUAAGUGCAUGGCAGUGUUGGCAGAUGUAUGUUGGCCCCCCAAAGUUCCAUAUCUUACUGGCAUUAGAAUUAUCAUCCUUGUCCAUUUCACCGUUAUUGGUUCUAGCAUGCCUUCUGCUCUUGUUGAGUUGAAUUUGUGCUUUCCUCUUCAUUCGUGCUGUUCUCGUUAAUUCGUCCUGGCGUCUCCGUUUCAUCAUCUGCUCAGCCAUCAUUGCACUGUCUACAACUGAUGAUUCUGUGACUUGUGCUGGUUGAUAAUUUGAAUUUGCCCUUACCGCAUGGCAAUAUUGGCUAGUACAUAAAUUUUGAAAUCUCAAGUCCAUUAUUUGUUGAUUCUGUAUAGCUGAUGCCCCUUCAAAGUUCCAUAUCUUACUACCACUGGAAUUACUGUCUUUGCUUUUUUCAGUGUUAUUGAUCCGGGCACGUUUGCUACCCCCUUUCAGUUGAAGUUGUGCUUUCCUCUUCAUCCUUGCUGUUCUUGCUAAUUCAUUUUGUUGUCUUUGUUUCGUAAUUUGCUUCGCAGUUACUGCACCGUGUAAAGUUGAUGAUUCCUUGACUUGCAAUGCUUGAUGAUUUGAAUUUCCUCGUGACACCUUGCAAAUUCGGCACAUGCAUAGUUUUGUACCCAAGUUCCAGCACAGUAUUUGUUGAUCUGUAUAGCUAUUGGCAGGUAGGGCAUCUCUUCCUCUGCUUUUUUCCAUCAGGUCUGUUACACUUAGUGCCCUCUGGAGUUGAUGUUCUUGCUUUGCCUUUUUUAUCUUGCUCACCAGAUUAGUUCUGUAGUGAUACUUGAUUUUAUUUACUUUCCUGCUCUUUCUGCUCCUGAAUUCGGGUCAUACACUCGUACUUCUCCCUUCAAGAUUUCUACUGAUCCUUUUGACUGGCUUUAAUUGUUUUGAU
rnacentral:lncRNA from 1 species